UACGGAGGGAGCUAGCGUUGUUCGGAAUUAUUGGGCGUAAAGCGCGCGCAGGCGGCCUUUUAAGUCUGAUGUGAAAGCCCACGGCUCAACCGUGGAAGGUCAUUGGAAACUGAAAGGCUUGAGUACAGAAGAGGAAAGCGGAAUUCCACGUGUAGCGGUGAAAUGCGUAGAGAUGUGGAGGAACACCAGUGGCGAAGGCGGCUCACUGGCCCGGUACUGACGCUCAUGUGCGAAAGCGUGGGGAGCAAACAGG
rnacentral:rRNA from 1 species